GACGAACGCUGGCGGCGUGCUUCAUACAUGCAAGUCGAGCGAGGAACGAUUAAGAGCUUGCUUUUGAUCGGAUCCUAGUGGCGAACGGGUGAGUAACGCGUGAGCAACCUGUCUUUCAGAGGGGGAUAACAACGAGAAAUCGUUGCUAAUACCGCAUAAGACCACACUGUCGCAUGGCAGAGGGGUAAAAGGAGCAAUCCGCUGAUUGAGGGGCUCGCGUCCCAUUAGAUAGUAGGUGAGGUAACGGCUCACCUAGUCUGCGAUGGGUAGCCGAGCUGAGAGGCUGAACGGCCACACUGGAACUGAGACACGGUCCAGACUCCUACGGGAGGCAGCAGUGGGGAAUAUUGGGCAAUGGGCGAAAGCCUGACCCAGCAACGCCGCGUGAGGGAAGAAGGUCUUCGGAUUGUAAACCUCUGUUCUUGGUGACGAAAAGAUGACGGUAGCCAAGGAGAAAGCCCCGGCUAACUACGUGCCAGCAGCCGCGGUAAA
rnacentral:rRNA from 1 species